rnacentral:tRNA from 1 species
AAUGGGGUGCCUGAAUAAAGGGUUACCUUGAUAGGGUAAAUCAUGUAAGACGCUAGCUUACCCUCAUUA